AACUUGACACGUUGAGCUCGU
rnacentral:miRNA from 8 species